rnacentral:rRNA from 1 species
GCAUAUCAAUAAGCGGAGGAAAAGAAACCAACAGGGAUUGCCCCAGUAACGGCGAGUGAAGCGGCAACAGCUCAAAUUUGAAAUCUGGCUUCGGCCCGAGUUGUAAUUUGCAGAGGAUGUAUUUGGCGCGGUGCCUUCCGAGUUCCCUGGAACGGGACGCCAUAGAGGGUGAGAGCCCCGUCUGGUUGGACACCAAGCCUAUGUAAUACUCCUUCGACGAGUCGAGUAGUUUGGGAAUGCUGCUCUAAAUGGGAGGUAAAUCUCUUCUAAAGCUAAAUACCGGCCAGAGACCGAUAGCGCACAAGUAGAGUGAUCGAAAGAUGAAAAGCACCUUGAAAAGGGGGUUAAACAGUACGUGAAAUUGUUGAAAGGGAAGCGUUUAUGACCAGACUUGUGCCGUGUGGCUCAUCCGGGGUUCUCCCCGGUGCACUCCAUACGGUUCAGGCCAACAUCGGUUCUCGUUGGGGGAUAAGAACAGUAGGAACGUGGCCCUCUUCGGAGGGUGUUAUAGCCUAUUGUACGAUACUCUGAUGGGGACCGAGGACCGCGCUUCGGCUAGGAUGUUGGCGUAAUGGUCAUUAGCGACCCGUCUUGAAACACGGACCAAGGAGUCGUCCAUUAGAGCGAGCGUUUGGGUGUAAAACCCGCACGCGUAAUGAAAGUGAAAUUAGGUGAGAGCUUCGGCGCAUCAUCGACCGAUCCUGAAGUUUACGGAUGGAUUUGAGUAAGAGUUUUAACGGACGGACCCGAAAGACAGUGAACUAUGCUUGAAUAGGGUGAAGCCAGAGGAAACUCUGGUGGAGGCUCGCAGCGGUUCUGACGUGCAAAUCGAUCGUCAAAUUUGAGCAUGGGGGCGAAAGACUAAUCGAACUGUCUAGUAGCUGGUUACCGCCGAA